UACGUAGGGGGCAAGCGUUGUCCGGAUUUAUUGGGCGUAAAGAGCGUGUAGGCGGCUUUACAGGUCCGUUGUGAAAACUCGAGGCUCAACCUCGAGACGCCGGUGGAAACCGUAAAGCUAGAGUCCGGAAGAGGAGAGUGGAAUUCCUGGUGUAGCGGUGAAAUGCGCAGAUAUCAGGAGGAACACCGAUGGCGAAGGCAGCUUGCUGGGACGGUACUGACGCUGAGACGCGAAAGCGUGGGGAGCAAACAGG
rnacentral:rRNA from 1 species